rnacentral:lncRNA from 1 species
AUUAUUUCGAUUCUAAUAGGACAAACACGGUCAUUAAAAAACUGAAGCGAGGGUGGGUAUGCUGUGUGUGUGGCUGUUCUUUUUUACUCCCUGUUAGAUAAAGCUCAAAUAUCUUUAUAAAUAUGUAGCUUGCGUAGGUUUUUUCGUGAAUAACUGUUAGAAAAAAACUUUUUAAUUCUUUAAAUUCUCAAACCCAACAUUUGCCAUUUUUAAUUUACAUGUUUUUUUUCGUAAGCUUCCGUCAAAUCCAUAGUUGACAUUUUGUAACUUAGGAGACGCCAUGUUGACUUGCUGAAAUGAGUAAAUAUGCGAAUAAUGCAAUAGAAUAGAAAAUAAAACAAAACCUAACUCAAAAAUCAAUUUUAAUACAAUUUCAUACGAAUUCCGAUGGUUCACGUAACAGAAAACUUUCAACUUUAGCUGUUUCAUUUGUAUGACGUCAUGUUUUGAAAUGACUUAAAUGCGCCAAAAAGAUUAAUAGACUUUCGCGGAAUUUUAUUUUAUUUUUAUUUUGUUGAUUUCUCCGAGCUCUUGUGCAUUACUUUUUUUUAUUAUGCAUUCGAAUAAGAGUAAAAGUUAUUUUGUCUUAUUUUAAUUGCACUUUUUAAAACAAUAAAAUCGGCAAAGGGUCAGAAAAUAGGUUCCAAUACCUGUAGAUUUACGUGGGAAGUAUAUUGUAAC